AGGGCAAGUCUGGUGCCAGCAGCCGCGGUAAUUCCAGCUCCAAUAGCGUAUAUUAAAGUUGUUGCAGUUAAAAAGCUCGUAGUUGAAUUUCGGGAUCAAUCUAUCGGUCGUGCAAUAGUACGUACUGAUUUUAUUGAUUCCUCCCUUCUGAUGAACUAUGAUGUCAUUAAUUUGGUGUCAUAGGGAAUCAGGACUGUUACUUUGAAAAAAUUAGAGUGUUUAAAGCAGGCUCACGCUUGAAUACAUUAGCAUGGAAUAACGAAAUAGGACGUUUGAUUCUAUUUUGUUGGUUUCUAGGAUCGACGUAAUGAUUAAUAGGGAUAGUUGGGGGCAUUAGUAUUCAAUUGUCAGAGGUGAAAUUCUUGGAUUUAUUGAAGACUAACUACUGCGAAAGCAUUUGCCAAGGAUGUUUUCAUUAGUCAAGAACGAAAGUUAGGGGAUCGAAGACGAUCAGAUACCGUCGUAGUCUUAACCAUAAACUAUGCCGACUAGGGAUCGGAUGAUGUUAAUUUUUUAAUGACUCAUUCGGCGCCUUACGGGAA
rnacentral:rRNA from 1 species